GGAGACAUGACCGAGUGGCCGAAGGUGCUCCCCUGCUAAGGGAGUAUGGGGGGUAGAGCUCCAUCGAGGGUUCGAAUCCCUCUGUCUCCGCCA
rnacentral:tRNA from 1 species